GGAAUAUAAGAAUCCGACUCUUAACUUUUAACUAAAAAAGUUAAGAACCGGUUCUUAAAACUCUUAUUUAAGAACCGGUUCUUAACUUUUUUAGUUAAAAGUUAAGAGACAGAUUUUUAUAUUCC
rnacentral:pre_miRNA from 1 species